AUACUGUGACGAAAUAUGUAAAU
rnacentral:snRNA from 1 species